rnacentral:lncRNA from 1 species
GGGCUCCUUUUCGCUACAUGGCUACAAAGGUUUGGAACUUACCCAGUGUUUGUUUUUAUCUCCGACUUAGGGAACACAAGUGUGGAUAUGCUCAACAGAAACGGUUCGCCAACUGUUCUGAAGCACUUCAGAGAAAAGACUGAAAACCCGCCGCAGGCUGGAGAAGUGGUUCAGUCUUUAAAGGCUAGCUCACAGGUUCACUGUCACGUCUCCCAUCUGCAAUGGACACAUCAAAGGUCUACUUGAAUUUAAAGGCAUCCAGGAGUCCAGAGCCUCAGCGUGCAUCACCUCCAUGUCUUCCCCCAGGGAAAGGGACAUCAGAGAGACUCUCUAUAAAGUAUCCUGUGUGGUCCAAACUUCUCUACAGAACAGAAACACUACAACUCAGCUCCUCGGCAUUCUAGCGCUGAGCACUGGUGGAAUCAGCAAGCACCCUGUCUCCCAGAGACUUGAAAUCUGAGUGACAGAAAUGUGGAAGACUGACAUGAGACAAAUAUGAAGGCUGCCAAGACUUAGGGAUGGAUGGAGAGAGAGACAGGCAGAAGGGAGAAAAUGAGUCUAAAAUGGUCAUAGAAUAUAGUAUGAGAGUCUGUGAUGUAACUGAGCUUCUUUAUAUAAUACCACAGUUGUGUAAAUUUUAUCU